UCCAGCAGCCAUAUCACUCUCGAACUCACAACUGGCAACCCACUGAAGCUAAGCAGGUGUGGGCCUGGUCAGUACCUGGAUGGGAGACCUCCUGGGAAAACUAAGGUUGCUGCUGGAA
rnacentral:rRNA from 1 species